CUACGGGUGGCUGCAGUAAGGAAUAUUGCGCAAUGGAGGCAACUCUGACGCAGCCAUGCCGCGUGCAGGAAGAAGGCCUUAUGGGUCGUAAACUGCUUUUAUUUAGGAAUAAACCCCCGAACGUGUUCGGGGCUGAAGGUACUAAACGAAUAAGCACCGGCUAACUCCGUGCCAGCAGCCGCGGUAAUACGGAGGGUGCAAGCGUUAUCCGGAUUUAUUGGGUUUAAAGGGUGCGCAGGCGGGCUAUUAAGUCAGUGGUGUAAUCCCGGGGCUCAACUCCGGAACUGCCAUUGAUACUGAUAGUCUUGAGUUUGGUUGAAGUGGGCGGAAUGUAGCAUGUAGCGGUGAAAUGCAUAGAUAUGCUACAGAACACCAAUCGCGAAGGCAGCUCACUAAGCCAAAACUGACGCUCAUGCACGAAAGCGUGGGGAUCAAACAGGAUUAGAUACCCGAGUAGUC
rnacentral:rRNA from 1 species